GCCAUACUAAUUUAGGGCCCCAAGUGUGUGUGAGCGCUUCGUGGGGCUGCAGAGUGAACAAGCUGAGACUGAGUUGGCGGGAGGAAGUGAUGCGUUCACCUCAAUGUGCUCUGGUCGAUAAAUAGUUGUCUUCCUAACCACCAGGUCACCACAGACGUUAAUCCAGCCUUUCGCUCUCCAGCUCUACCGGAGUCUCUGUCCUCUCAGGCUUGUUCAGCACACGUUGGAUUGUAGAACAGGAAAGGGAAGAAUCUUCUCAGAAUGAAGGUUGCUAUAGUGAUUCUUUGCCUGACGGGCGCAGUUCUUGCCAACCCAGUGAGUAGGGCAUCUUUUUCUUUCCGGGGGACCUUGUGAGUCAUUUUCAUAAGCCUAUUGAUAUAACUGAGGAUAUCCUUUACUUCUCAGAUAAUGUAUGGCAUCACUGUGGACAAAGCUGAGCUGCAGUCAAAUGUGGUGAGUAAAAAUGACAGGGUUUUCCAUUUCUAAAAAUGGAAUUGUUGUGAAUUGUCAUACGAAUGCUUCUUUUGAAUGAAUUUUCUUUUUUACUAAUAUACACGUUUAAUAUAAGACAUGUCAGACAUGUAAGAUUUUUUAUUAAUCCCACGGACAACAAGUGAUUUGGUUUCAAUGUCUUUAACAUUGACAGAGUUCUUCCAUUUCUGACAUCGCUGUUCAAGGAGAUACCACAGGGUUAAUGCUCCAAGACUCCUCAGAAUCAUCAGAAUCAGAGUCAUCCCAGCAAAAUGACACUUCUGAAAGCCAGAGCAGCUCGGCGUCGGAUUCUUCAAACCAAAGUGACACAUCGGAGCAGGAGUCCCAGAGUUCCUCUGCAUCUGAAUCGUCAGACACUUCAGAGGAUGAGUCCAAGAGUUCCUCAUCAUCUCAGUCAUCUGACCAAUCAGAUACUUCAGAACAGAAGAGCUCAGAAGAAACCCCCUCUGAAAACACAACUUCCGAAUCAUCAGAAUCUGCAUCUGAGGACAUGACAUCUGAAGAAAGCCAGGAUAUGACUGACUCUGCUGAAAAUGGAGUCACCAAAGAUGACAGUCAUGGCAGUAAAGAGAACAUGAGGAAGGUUUUCCGAGUCUACGCAAUCAAAGUGGCCAGCAAGGAGGACAACAGCACUGAAGACACCACCAGUGAGUCCCAGCAGUCCAGCUCAGAAACAACUGAAGACCAAAGCAUCUCCAGUGAAACCGCCGAGACUGCCAGCAACAUGAACCCCACCAUCAGCAUCAGCAACAGCGUGAGCAGCGAGAUAAGCCAGGCCAGCAACAGCACUGAGAGCCAGGAGAGCGAGGAGAGCGAGGAGAGCCAGGAGAGCCAGGAGAGCAGUGAGAGCAGUGAGAGCCUGCAGGACAGCGUCAGCAACGAGAGCAGCCAGAGCCAAUCAGAGGAGUGCCCCCCAGGAUCUGACACCAACUGCGACAGCGACGAGCAUCAGUUCCACGAAAUUGCCGAUGACGGCGCGCUCGGCCUGAACGACAACUUCCUCAUGCAUUACGACAUGCCAGGAGAGCUCAAGCUCCGCAGAUGACCUCUCUAUAGGCCGGUGCUCAGUACCCACUGUAUUACAUAUUAAUUGCACUUAUAAUUUUGCGUAUCUCUGUGUAUUAUGUACUGUGUCCAUAAACUGUUCAGCUGCCCCUACCCAGAUCGCUGAACUUUAUUAAAUACUCAUUAAUGUUUUAUACCCUUAUGUCAACUGAAUGUGUUUUAUAUAACAAGAUAUUCUAUGCCAUAGUUCUAUAUAUUUGUUACCUAUGUUAAUUUAUUUUAUUUUGCAAUUUAUGUAGAAUUUAUAUCCAGAAAUCCCAGAC
ensembl:lncRNA dentin sialophosphoprotein-like